AUUGAACGCUGGCGGCAGGCUUAACACAUGCAAGUCGAGCGGAGAUGAGGUGCUUGCACUUUAUCUUAGCGGCGGACGGGUGAGUAAUGCUCAGGUAGCUGCCUAUUAGUGGGGGACAACAUUCCGAAAGGAAUGCUAAUACCGCAGACGCCCUACGUGGGAAAGCAGGGGAUCGCCGGACCUUGCGCUAAUAGAUGAGCCUAAGUUGGAUUAGCUAGUUGGUGGGGUAAAGGCCUACUAAGGUGACGAUCUGUAGCGGGUCUGAGAGGAUGAUCCGCCACACUGGGACUGAGACACGGCCCGGACUCCUACGGGAGGCAGCAGUGGGGAAUAUUGGACAAUGGGCGGAAGCCUGAUCCAGCCAUGCCGCGUGUGUGAAGAAGGCCUUUUGGUUGUAAAGCACUUUAAGCGAGGAGGAGGCUACCUGGAUUAAUACUCUAAGAUAAUGGACGUUACUCGCAGAAUAAGCACCGGCUAACUCUGUGCCAGCAGCCGCAGUAAAAC
rnacentral:rRNA from 1 species